rnacentral:tRNA from 1 species
CCCUAAGUGGUACAAAUGGUUAAUACGCUCAGCUGCUAACUGAAAGACUGGAGGUUAGAGUCCACCCAGGGG